rnacentral:misc_RNA from 1 species
UUUCCGUAGGUGAACCUGCGGAAGGAUCAUUACCUAGAGUUUGUGGACUUCGGUCUGCUACCUCUUACCCAUGUCUUUUGAAUACCUUCGUUUCCUCGGCGGGUCCGCCCGCCGAUGGGACAACAUUCAAACCCUAUGCAGUUGCAAUCAGCUUCUGAAAAACCAUCAUAUUUACUACUUUCAACAACGGAUCUCUUGGUUCUG